UUCUGGCUCCCAAAUCCCCCAAGCAUAUCUUCCAUUGUCCAGUAAAAUCUCCGCCCGUGCCUGCAAUUUCUAGGAUUUGAGUGGAAGUCGCCGGCGACGAUUCGUCCGGGCGAUCCGGCCAUGCUCAUCUCCGGCCUGGCCUGGCCGCACCUCCCGCUCCCUGCCCGAGUUCCCUUCUCGAUGGAGAAACUCAGCCCUCCGACGAAUGGCCGCCACCAUGCCCCCCCGGCGCCUCCGCCCGGCGCGGCUUCGCGUGUAUGAGCGCACCUUGCUCCUGUCACCUGCCUCCGCUCACUCCUAACCGGACGGAGGUUCGCCAGCACGUCGCUCAGCUCCCUCUCCACCCGUCUGGUGUCGCCUGCUCGCGGAUGCGCCGCCCGCCGUCUCCAGGCUGUACGUCCGCGUCCAUGGAAAAAUUGCUGCGGGUAACCUACUAAUAUUAAGCAUGCCGUUGCAUCUCCAGAGAGCCUACAAGCAGUUGAUUACUUUGUGAUGUUGAUUACUUUGGUGUUGAAGUAAUUUUCAUGGUUAACAACAACGUAGCUUGUGUGCAUGUUUUUUUGUUCAUCGUCAGCAGCUGGAGCCAUAUCAAGGAGAAGACCACGAUCAGUUGUAUUUACUUUCAUUUUUUUUCUUUGAAAUGAAUGUUGCUCCGCUCUUCUGUCAUGAGUUAAAGAUUUGCAGAUUCUCAAUGAAUGCAUCUUUAUUUUAUUAGUGUUCAAGCCAUCGGUACAGUUCUAAUUUCUCCUGUAAAAGUGUUUUAGUGUGUCCACUCCGGUGGCUACCUUUGUAGAAGUAUUUCAACAGUAGGUGAGCAGGAAUUAAUGGUACCAUUGGCAGAGAGUUUUGUUGCUAAGAUAACCAUGUUGAUUUCAGUACCACAUGUUUCCUGGAACAUCUAGAAUAGAUUAUCAAGUGAUUUUCUAUCAAUAUUCAUUUAAUUCAUACUUGGGAAGCAUGGUAUUUUAUAUCCAUUGCAUUUCACAGUGUGGUGUAGUUCCAGCUGCUGGUUAUGGUUCACCCUGGGGUGGUGCAAUACAAGAGGUUACUAAGAGAUUUUUGAUGUCUUCUGUUGGUUCUAGAGUGUGGUGCCUUAGAUCAUCACGAUGCGUAUUUUUGGGUUUUUUGUAGGUGAAUUUGAUGCAAAGACAGAGCACGAUAUGAUCCGUUAGUGUGUCUGAUACUGGAUGAAUUUUAAACAAAAUAGAUAUGGUAUUUUUUGAGUUUUUUGUUUUGUUUUAGUCCAUGUGAAUCAUCUAUUUCUAGGGUUGACGAAUUGGUACCCUUGCCUUAGUUUCUAUUUGAACAUGGUGCGCUUUUCUGCAGGUUCUUUUGUUCAGUGAUUUUUGUACAACCGUGAGCUCAUUUUCAAUGUUGUAAAGAUACCUUGUUGAAGGUCAAUACAUUGUGAUUUUAUUGUAUAGUGUAUUUGCUAUAUUUCUUCUUAGCAAAAAAAUAUUUCAUUUAUUCAUGUUUCACCCAACGUUUUCUAAAAUAAAUUACGCUUACCAUCUUUCUGCUUUUAUAGAUGAUUAGGUCCAUCGGAGUAUAGGGAAAUAUGAUUAAGAAACGAAAAUAUUUCUGAGAUGGACCCAAUCACAAAUCUCUGAUAGGAGAGCCAGCUAAGCUCUUUCUUUUUCUUGAAAUCCUUCACUAAGGUUAACUGCCGCUGAGACACAUCUCUUGUCAUCUUGUGGCAUAUAGAUGAUUAGGCCAAUAAAUUCAUUUGAUUUACUACAGCUUUUCAGGUUUAUUCUUUGAUGGUGAAUCCAUGGGAACCUUCUGGAAUUUAAGAAAGCAGCUGUUAGAUUCUCCUUCUGUUUGAUUUUCUUAUACAGGGAAUGAGGUUUCACAAUUUAAACUAUGUUUUAUGCUUAAUCUGAAUAUAUUCCUUAGUUGCUCCAAGUAACAAAUUAGUGUCCAGUUUAGUCGUUUUGUUGUUCCUUCCAUGAAACUUAACAAAAUUAGAAAAUGUUAGGAAAAAUGAUAAAUAUAUUGUACUUAGUCUGUAGUAGUUUUUUUAGGGUUAGUGUGCAGUAGUCUUUUUUUUUAGGUUUAGUCUGCAGUAGUUGGUGUAAUGGUUAAUGUUCCUUUUCUCCUAUUUCGUGUUGUUAUUUUUUAGAGCAUGUUACUAUAUCAAGAUGGAACUCUUUUGCCUACACAACUGCCCAAGUAACAGUCAUAGAUGGGUGUGAUGAAUAAGUUGUGGGAGCAAGCAAGCGAUGUCCUCAACAACGAGCUAAUUCAGCCAGUCGUGCUUGUGGAUGGUACCUUGAAAGCAACAAGCCAGUUCUUCUCCAUCUGCUCAAUGUAUCCGCGAUACCAACCUGAUACUUUCUCGGUCAACAUUGUCUCCAUGGGGUUUCCAGUUCUUCACUCAGUCCAGGAACCCUGCCGUUUCAUAGCCUUCCCAAUCUGUCGUGCCUGUGUGGUGGCCGAGUUUGUCUUCUUCCCAGUUUCAAUCAUGUCAUUCUCUUGGUUAAAUUUUCAUAGGAUGAUAGAAAGUAUUGAUCCCAGAUAGAUUUGUUCAGAAAAGAUUCUCCUGCAAAUUAACUAUGUAUGACUAUUCGUGUUGUUGAUUGGUUAAUAAUAAUUUUGGAGAACAAAGAUUUGUUGCGAUGCUUUCAAGUUGUGCUCUCUAUCCCAAAUUCCGAUGUUGGAAGCAUCGCAACCAUCUUCGCCAUGCGAGGGUUUUCCCCUUUUUGUGCCCUCUCGGUUAUUUAUGACUCUGUAAUGAUUAUUUACAGAUGGAGCUUCUGAUGAUAAAUCAUAUGACAGGUUCUACAGUCUCCCAACAGCAAAAAAG